rnacentral:rRNA from 1 species
CGACUUGGAGGUUGUGCCCUUGAGGCGUGGCUUCCGGAGCUAACGCGUUAAGUCGACCGCCUGGGGAGUACGGCCGCAAGGUUAAAACUCAAAUGAAUUGACGGGGGCCCGCACAAGCGGUGGAGCAUGUGGUUUAAUUCGAUGCAACGCGAAGAACCUUACCUACUCUUGACAUCCAGAGAACUUAGCAGAGAUGCUUUGGUGCCUUCGGGAACUCUGAGACAGGUGCUGCAUGGCUGUCGUCAGCUCGUGUUGUGAAAUGUUGGGUUAAGUCCCGCAACGAGCGCAACCCUUAUCCUUUGUUGCCAGCGAUUCGGUCGGGAACUCAAAGGAGACUGCCGGUGAUAAACCGGAGGAAGGUGGGGAUGACGUCAAGUCAUCAUGGCCCUUACGAGUAGGGCUACACACGUGCUACAAUGGCGCAUACAAAGAGAAGCGACCUCGCGAGAGCAAGCGGACCUCACAAAGUGCGUCGUAGUCCGGAUCGGAGUCUGCAACUCGACUCCGUGAAGUCGGAAUCGCUAGUAAUCGUGGAUCAGAAUGCCACGGUGAAUACGUUCCCGGGCCUUGUACACACCGCCCGUCACACCAUGGGAGUGGGUUGCAAAAGAAGUAGGUAGCUUAACCUUCGGGAGGGCGCUUACCACUUUGUGAUUCAUGACUGGGGUGAAGUCGUAACAAGGUAUC